ensembl:lncRNA
CAGGGAUGUUCUCUGUUUAGUGAGUCCACCAGAUCAGAGGCAGUAGGGAUGACCAGGGAUGUUCUCUGUUUGGUGAGUCCACCAGAUCAGAGGCAGUAGGGAUGACCAGGGAUGUUCUCUGUUUAGUGAGUCCACCAGAUCAGAGGCAGUAGGGAUGACCAGGGAUGUUCUCUGUUUAGUGAGUCCACCAGAUCAGAGGCAGUAGGGAUGACCAGGGAUGUUCUCUGUUUAGUGAGUCCUCCAGAUCAGAGACAGUAGGGAUGACCAGGGAUGUUCUCUGUUUAGUGAAUCCACCAGAUCAGAGGCAGUAGGGAUGACCAGGGAUGUUCUCUGUUUAGUGAGUCCACCAGAUCAGAGGCAGUAGGGAUGACCAGGGAUGUUCUCUGUUUAGUGAGUCCACCAGAUCAGAGGCAGUAGGGAUGACCAGGGAUGUUCUCUGUUUAGUGAGUCCACCAGAUCAGAGGCAGUAGGGAUGACCAGGGAUGUUCUCUGUUUAGUGAGUCCACCAGAUCAGAGGCAGUAGGGAUGACCAGGGAUGUUCUCUGUUUAGUGAGUCCACCAGAUUAGAGGCAGUAGGGAUGACCAGGGAUGUUCUCUGUUUAGUGAGUCCACCAGAUCAGAGGCAGUAGGGAUGACCAGGGAUGUUCUCUGUUUAGUGAGUCCACCAGAUCAGAGGCAGUAGGGAUGACCAGGGAUGUUCUCUGUUUAGUGAGUCCACCAGAUCAGAGACAGUAGGGAUGACCAGGGAUGUUCUCUGUUUAGUGAGUCCACCAGAUCAGAGGCAGUAGGGAUGACCAGGGAUGUUCUCUGUUUAGUGAGUCCACCAGAUCAGAGGCAGUAGGGAUGACCAGGGAUGUUCUCUGUUUAGUGAGUCCACCAGCUCAGAGGCAGUAGGGAUGACCAGGGAUGUUCUCUGUUUAGUGAGUCCUCCAGAUCAGAGACAGUAGGGAUGACCAGG